rnacentral:rRNA from 1 species
UACAGAGGUCUCAAGCGUUGUUCGGAUUCAUUGGGCGUAAAGGGUGCGUAGGCGGCGCGGUAAGUCGGGUGUGAAAACUCGAGGCUCAACCUCGAGACGUCGGCGGAAACCCUCUGGCUAGAGUCCGGAAGAGGAGAGUGGAAUUCCUGGUGUAGCGGUGAAAUGCGCAGAUAUCAGGAAGAACACCCGUGGCGAAGGCGGCUCUCUGGGACGGUACUGACGCUGAGACGCGAAAGCGUGGGGAGCAAACAGG